ensembl:lncRNA
CAGGCUCAGAGAGCUGGAGUUAUUCCAUCUGGAGAAGAGAAGGCUCCAGGGAGACCUGCAAGCAGCCUUUCAGUAUCUGAAGGGAGGCUAUAAGAAAGAAGGGGACAGACUCUUCAGCAGGGUCUGUCAUGACAGGACAAAGGGAAAUGGUUUUAAACUAAAAGAAGGGAGAUUUAGACUGGAUAUUAGAGAAAAUGUUUUUUAUAGUAACAGUGGUGAGGCACUGGGACAGGUUGACCGGAGGGGCGGUGGAUGCUCUGUCCUUGGAUACAUUCAAGGUCAGGCUGAGUGGGGCUCUUAGCAACCUGAUCUAGCUGUAAGUGUCCCUGUUCAUUGUAGGGCAUUUGGACUAGAUGGCCUCUAAAGGUCUCUUCCAAUUCAAAUGAUUCUAUGAUUCAAUGAUUCUAAAUCAGCUAUAGAACAAAAGGCAGGACAGUUCAUGGUGGGAGUGUGGACACGCACACGAAGAACUGAUGCUGAUGGGCACAUCCAAUACCCUUUGGGACACUGGAGGAGAAUCCUGGGUGAGCUGCUGGACUCUCCAUCAGUCCUACAGAUUUCUUCUGACAAAUUUUCCUGCUAAGAAGGCAAGUGUGGGAAGAAAUACUGAUGACACGUGCUUCUGAUGGAGUCAGUGGUGUCCAGGAGCAGGAUGCAGCUGCACAACCACGCCAUAAGUGCCUUACCUUCAUCAAGAGCAAAUCAUGACAUUUUUUGAGGAGGGAAACUUUAAAGCACUGCUGAUAAAUGCUGAGCAGAACGAGACAAAAUGGCGGACAGGGGAACCCUGCAGAAGAGGGCGUGUGAAGUGGCCAUGACAUCCUGGGCUUGCCAAUCAUUGCUUUGCAGGAGCAGCAUGCUGGAUGAAGGUGUAUUUAAGAAGGGCAUUUGUGAUGGGACAUAACUUGGAACAAGCUAAACGUGGAAAAAAGAAAAGUCUUUUCAGAGAAGCUACGGGAGGAUUUAAAGACAAACUUUCAAGAUGAA